rnacentral:lncRNA from 1 species
AACCAAUUAGACUCAAAAAAUUUGUCUUGCAAAUUACAGAUAAACUAUGCAAUUAGUUAUUUAUUUUAUCUAUAUUUAAUGCUUCAUAUAAGUGCCACAAUAUUCAAAGUGACGAAGAAUCUGAAAAAUUUUAUAAAAUAUUUUGGAAACUAAACAAGGCCUAAUUAGCGGGCGGGACGCGCAAAGCUUCUGGGCACAUGCGGUACUUUUUUUCCUGUGAAAAAUUAGGUUGCUUUCGUAUUCGUACACACCUUUUAUUACAAUAACGCUCUUUCUAGAGCGUCCGUCUGUCCGGACGGAUCAGCCUCGACCGAAGCAACCGCUUCCGGCUCCACGAACCAGACUCGAUGGAAGCAACUGCUUCCGGCUCCACCAACCAGACUCGAUCUAAACGACCCCUCUCACCUCUUUAUCUGUUCGUUCACUAUCUCGACCUUGUGAAUCCCGCACCCAGUCUCUACUUUGCUCGCUCAUUCCCUCUCUUCGUUCCUCCACGCCGUUACGCUCGUCGCUGCUCUCCGAGACGGUUGCCACACUCAUAUCUAGCUUGGUGCUGCUUUGUCUGUUUGCGCUUCCUUCCUCCUUCCCUCCCUCUCUCCCUUUCUAUGACCUCCAUGCUACUGGAGAGGAGGUCGACGGCGACGGGUUUCGGCGAGUCACUGCUCCCUCACUCUCUACCUCUGUAACCUCCAUGCAGCCAGAGAGCAGCUUUUGGCGAGGUAGAUCUAGAUCUGAGCUGUUCCUCUUCCCCUCUUUCACCCCCUCAUCUAGAUCUGAGGUCUCCUCCUCCUCCUUCUCAUUCUCCUUCUCCUGCUUCUCUUUUAGAUCUGGAUCUGAGAGACGUCGCGAUGGCUAGAGUUUCGUCGAGCUCUGUUUGCAGUACUAGGCUUGUUUUUCUGUUUCAACAAGCAAUUUUUUUUUGUUGCACUAGUUUUUUUGUAUGUUGCAUCUGGCAUUUUUUUUGUUUUUGUUUUUGCAGUAGUGUUGUUUUGCUAUUGCAACAAGUAAUUUUGUUUGUUUCGUUACUCUAUUUUUUGAUGUUGCAUCUCGCAUUUGCCCUUUUAUUGUUGCAGUUUCGUUUUUUUUUUGUUGCAACAAGUAAUUUUUUUGUUGCAUUAAUCUUUUUUUCUUGAUGUUGUUCUCAUUUUGCAUUUGUUUUUUUUUUUGUUCUGUUUUGGGUUGCACUAGUCUUUGUUAUGGUGUUGCAACAAGCAAUAUUCCUUUAUUGUAUUAGUUUCUUUUUUUUUCAUGCAUCUUGUGUUGUAGUAGCUU